AUUGAACGCUGGCGGCAGGCCUAACACAUGCAAGUCGAGCGGAGCGGCGGACGGGUGAGUAAUGCCUAGGAAUCUGACUGGGCGUGGGGGAUGAGGUCCGGAAACGGGCGCUAAUACCGCAUACUAUUAGAUUAGCCUAGGUCGGAUUAGCUAGUUGGUGGGGUAAAGGCUUACCAAGGCGACGAUCCGUAACUGGUCUGAGAGGAUGAUCAGUCACACUGGAACUGAGACACGGUCCAGACUCCUACGGGAGGCAGCAGUGGGGAAGAUUGGACAAUGGGCGAAAGCCUGAUCCAGCCAUGCCGCGUGUGUGAAGAAGGUCUUCGGAUUGUAAAGCACUUUAAGUUGGGAGGCGUUACCAACAGAAUAAGCACCGGCUAACUUCGUGCCAGCAGCCGCGGUAAUAC
rnacentral:rRNA from 1 species